ACGUAGGACGCAAGCGUUAUCCGGAGUUACUGGGCGUAAAGCGCGGGCAGGCGGUCUUGCCAGUCUGAUGUGAAAUCUCCUCGCUCAACGGGGAGCAGCCAUUGGAAACUACAAGACUGGAGUCUGACAGAGGUAGGCGGAAUUCCGGGUGGAGUGGUGAAAUGCGUAGAGAUCCGGAGGAACACCAGAGGCGAAGGCGGCCUACUGGGUCAGUACUGACGCUGAGGUGCGAAAGCGUGGGGAGCAAACAGG
rnacentral:rRNA from 1 species